GAGGACAUAGAUCUUC
rnacentral:misc_RNA from 1 species